rnacentral:misc_RNA from 1 species
GAUGAAGAACGUAGCGAAAUGCGAUACGUAAUGUGAAUUGCAGAAUUCAGUGAAUCAUCGAAUCUUUGAACGCAUAUUGCGCUCUCUGGUAUUCCAGAGAGCAUGCUUGUUUGAGUAUCAGUAAACACCUCAACUCCCUUUUCUUUUUUGAAAUUGGAGCUGGACUUGAGUGAUCCCAACGCUUUCUUCCAAGAAAGUGGCGGGUUGCUUGAAAUGCAGGUGCAGCUGAACUUUUCUCUGAGCUAUAAGCAUAUCUAUUUAGUCUGCCUAAAAAACAGAUUAUUACCUUUGCUGCAGCUAACAUAAAGGAGACUAGUUCUUGUGCUGACUGAUGCAGGAUUCACAGAGACAGCUUCGGCUGACUUUGUAAACUCGAUCUCAAAUCAAGUAAGACUACCCGCUGAACUUAAGCAUAUCAAUAAGCGGAGA